GACGACCAUCCAAAGUUCAAACAAAGUAUAAAUAUUUGAGAAUGUUGUACUAAUAAGGACCUGGAUUUCCCCCAACUUUUGUCGGAUUUCCAUAUCCAACAAAGAAAGAGAACCCCGCCGCGUUUUCAAACUAAGUCGUCUCCGAGCAAUCAGUUUGUCAGGCGGAAAUCUAGUUGUAACUUCACCUGAAGGCUGAAACAACUGCAGCUCCUUCCAUGUCAAACUUCAUUAGUUCAAUCAAGCAACCAGGUACACAAAUAUGACUAUAAAACCUGCAGUUGCAUUGAGAGCCAUUCUCGUCGGAGGAAUAGCUGCCUUUGCAAAAAUUGGUGGUGCUGUUAAAGCUGCAGGAGGUGUAAAAUUAGGUGCAGCAGCUGCUGCCAUGACUGCUGCAGCAACAGCAGCCGUAUCAGGAUCAAAAAAGGAAGAAAAGAAGGAUGGUUCUCAGCAGUUGUCGCCCAAAUGAUGCGCACAGCUCAUGUGUGUCAUUCUUUUUUCCCAAUGUAACGUGUAAACUGUCAAAAUAAAAGUUGUAGGGUGAUCGAGUAUUCCAGUCAAAUGGUUUACCAAUAUGAGCUUUAAUAGAUGAGAGAUAUGAUGGGUCGUUACAACUGCUUUCGUUAGUUAUGGAAGUAGGAAUUCAUUGAAGUGAAAAAUGAUCACUCAGUCCUGUGCUAGAUGCAGUUGUUUGCUCUCCAGUAUCUGAGGUAUGCAAUUGUUGUUGUACCAGUAAAGAUUGUAUUACUGCUUCUGCACUCCUUUCAAAAGCAAAUAUACGUUUUUGCAAGGUUUUAAAACAUGGGAUCUGUCAAUAAACCCAGUUUUGAACUUGUUCUGGGCGCGGAGAAUGGAGCAACUCCUUUUACAACAACUAACAACUGGGGGAGAGUAAUGAAGCCAAAGGCGGAGGCGAAACGGAAGCGGAAGAAGGAGUAUCAAGAACCUCCUGAGGAUGCAAAAUUGUUUGUUGGGAAUUUACUUUAUGAUGUAGAUAGUGAAGGGUUGACUUAACUUUUCCAACUGGCUGGUGUUGUUAAGAUUGUUGAGGUUAUUUACAAUAGGUAGAUUGAUCGGAGUCAUGAGUUCGGAUUUGUAAUGAUGAGAACUGUCGAAGAAGCUGAGAAAGCUGUAGUGUUGUACAACCGUUAUGGAGUACUGACAGAGACUACAGCAGAGUUAGCGACUUCAUUUUCUUUAGCAGCAACGAGAAGAAUUAUGGAGGCAGAUGAGGUCAUGAGAGCUGGCAAAUAUGAAGGAUGGCUUCCACUUUUGUUUGUGGGGAACUUGCUUAAAGGACAAACUAUUGGUGUAAUAGGGGCUGGCCGUAUUGGACCAGCUCAUGCCAGAAUGAUGCCUAUGGACAGUUUUUGAAAGUCAAUGGUGAACAACUUGUAACAUGGAAAAGAGCUUCAUUUAUGGAAGAGGUCCUCCGAGAGGCUGGUGUGAUAAUUCUUCAUCCAGUCCUUGAUAAAACAACUUACCACCUUGUGAACAAAGAACGGUUAGCAAUGAUGAAGAAGGUAAUAACAUUUGGAAGACUAUCAAUUUUGCUUGUUGAUUUACACAAAAUAUAAUAUUUUGAUAUUACUCAACUCAAACUUGUAGAAAGUAAUACUUGUGAACUAUAGUAGGGGGCCUGUUAUUGAUGAAGUAGCUCUUAUUGAGCAUCUAAGGGAAAAUCCCAUGUUCCGUAUUAGCCUUGAUGUCUUUGAGAAACACAGGGCCUGAAGAUGUGCAAGUGAAAGUUUUAUACUGUGGACUUUGUCACAGUGAUCUUCACCAGGUUAAAAAUGAUCUUGGCAUGUCCAACUACCCUUUGGUUCCUGGGAUGAGCUCUACAGGAAACCUGGUCUUGCAAACACGAAGAAUGUUGUUGUGGUACCCCACACAACUUCUGCUUCUAAGUGGACUCAUGAGGGUAUGGCUAUACUGACUGCUCUGAAUGUCCUGGGAAAAAUUAAAGGGUACCCAAUUUGGAGUAAUCCAAACAUCGUGGAAGCAUUCUUAGAUGAGAAUUCACCGCCCCCUAUUGCAUGCCCGAGCAUUGUGAAUUCAAAAGCUUUAGGCUUACCUGUUUCAAAGCUCGGAAUUUGGAAUGUUUAAGUAAUCAACAUAUGCCAGAUUGUUGGAAAUUUAAGAAUUGGAGAUGUCUUUCAAGCUUGAAAAGGAGCUGAUAAUGUUUGAAAACUUUGAUGUAUCAUGUAUCACUCAUUUGUCUAAAUUGGUUUUACAUGAUUUGCUAAUAAUUAGGACAUACGUUUUUCACAAGAUUUCUAAUUUUUAAUACUGUUCUCUUGAUGCGAUAUUUGUGAAACAAGUUUUACUCUUUUUGAGGUAAACAUAAUUAAUUCCA